AAGAGCCAGCAGAAUGAGGCUGCCCUGGACACACUGAGCCACUGGCUUUACAGGGAAGCCUGAUUGUCACUGGAAGAGGGAAGGCUGUGGGGAAAGUGCAGAAUGCUUGCCUAACCAGACCCAGAAGGACCAGGAUCCAGAGAUCUGCUCUGUUGUAAGCAGACAAUAACCUGACAUCAUGUUUAGCCUUAUGGAAAGCUUACCUUUCUAAAACAAACCACAGACAAUGAAUUCUACUUAAAAAGGAAGCCACCAUCGUUAUAUAAAGAUGAGCUCUCUGGAAAGCGAGCAUUCAGCUGAAAGUCCUGGUCAGAGCCAAGCCACACGUGUGCCUGACUUCUCUAAGUAGAGGCAGAGACCCAGGUCAGUGAAACAAAGUCAUCAAGACCUGCUCUAGAGCAGCAGCCAGGAGCCAAUGAACCAGGGUGAAAGGAAGCUCCCUUACCUUGGUCCUGCUGGGACCAGUCUCCUGGACUCAGCUCACCGAGUGCAGUCCCAGACAGGUACCACUGGGACCCUGCAUUGGAAGGGAUGUCUGUGAAGUUGGCAAAUUUAUCCAAGGCGAUCCACUCCUCUCCAGUGACACCCGAGAGCCGUGGGAGCGUGUAAAAUAUGGUCUGAAAAGAGAGUUGUAAAAUCUAUUAUUUUCCUUAAAAAAUAGAGGGGGAAAAACAAAGAAGACAAAACAAACAAAAAAACCCAGGUUUUAUUAAUGCUAGUGCUUCUCUCAAGCCAUCCUCAACUUGCAGGCUCUCAGGCCUGUGUACCUCUGUAGUUAUGCUUCACUCUGCCCUGGGACAUUCAGAGAUUCACUUAGAGACCCCCAAGGGCAUGUAGGGCCUCUCCAGCACUAACGACAUGUGACUACUAUGUUCUUAUCAAGAGCACACCAUGCUUCAAAGGGUGUUGUAACUAAAGAGAAGCAUAUACCUAAAGGCAGUGUCCUGGCCACCAGACACUCAUCCCAUGCCCAGUUACACUGCAGACAUCCCAAACCUGUAACUCACUGUGUGACAUGGAGUGAGCUGUGAAGGCUUUGUCAGCUUUGGUUCAUCAUGUGUAUGAAGGUGGGUAAAAUGGAGCCUAUAAAGCCACCUUCUGUUCCUCCCUCUUGAAGAACUCUCAACCAUGGAAAGGCAUGUGAGAGAAAAAACCCCAAGUAACAGGCAACUUAAAAGCAAAAUGACACCCACUGCACAUGCAAGGGUGGUUUUAAGGCAGAUAUGGUUUGUUUCAUGCUAGCCAUAUUUGUGCAAAUUUAAACUGGUGUCAUGAUGAACAGUAAUGGUUAUCAGCUGGGCCUCCUAAGUCCAGCUGCAAACACUAAGGCUUGGUGACAGAGUCUGAUGGCCCAUGAGCUCCCGGCCUGGCAGUCUACACACAUAGCUCCCACUGCUGCUCGCCCACUCUGCCUGGUAUUGCUGAGGACAAGAACAGCAGAAAGCAAGGCUGGCAGUGGGGAGAGGAAGAAGAAAGGACUCAGAGCUUGGGGUCAGCCUUGGAAAAGGUGGAUGGGGUGCUAGAGAGCCCUUAGGAAGGUAGCAGCAGAGUGGGCUGUGGAGCCGAGGAGCACCGACAAAGUGUUCGAUGGUGAAAAAUCCUACUAGGUCUCAUCUUGAGAAGAAUGAUAUUGGUAGUGUGACAGAAAGCACUUGUUCACGUGUGUGUGUGUAUGUAUUUGUAUGUGUGUAUAUAUGUCUAUGUGUGUAAAUGUGUGUAUAUAUGUGUGUUUGUGUGUGUAUGUAGCUAGGCUCCCAAUAUAAACCCCCACAGAGGAAAAGUCACUCGGGUCAGGUACUCUCCCUUCAGAUCUAGGUAGGCAGCACAGUGCUGUAACUGGAGCUGAAAAGGGUUUAAGAAUGCCUGGUGUUCUAAAUUUUAGGAAUUUACAUUCUGAUGUCAUGUAUUUUAACUGCAAUGUGUAUGUUGGCAAUUUUUAAAAAUUUUUAAAAUUACAUAAGCACUCUGCUACUUUC
rnacentral:lncRNA from 1 species